rnacentral:rRNA from 1 species
GUGGGGAAUAUUGGACAAUGGGCGCAAGCCUGAUCCAGCAAUGCCGCGUGGGUGAAGAAGGUCUUCGGAUCGUAAAGCCCUUUCGACAGGGACGAUGAUGACGGUACCUGUAGAAGAAGCCCCGGCUAACUUCGUGCCAGCAGCCGCGGUAAUACGAAGGGGGCUAGCGUUACUCGGAAUUACUGGGCGUAAAGGGCGCGUAGGCGGCUCUGUUAGUCAGGCGUGAAAUUCCUGGGCUUAACCUGGGGACUGCGCUUGAUACUGCAGGGCUUGAGGCCGAGGGAGGGUGGUGGAAUUCCCAGUGUAGAGGUGAAAUUCGUAGAUAUUGGGAAGAACACCGGUGGCGAAGGCGACCACCUGGCUCGGUUCUGACGCUGAGGCGCGACAGCGUGGGGAGCAAACAGGAUUAGAUACCCUAGUAGUCCU